rnacentral:rRNA from 1 species
UACGUAGGUGGCAAGCGUUAUCCGGAUUUAUUGGGCGUAAAGGGAACGCAGGCGGUCUUUUAAGUCUGAUGUGAAAGCCUUCGGCUUAACCGGAGUAGUGCAUUGGAAACUAGGAGACUUGAGUGCAGAAGAGGAGAGUGGAACUCCAUGUGUAGCGGUGAAAUGCGUAGAUAUAUGGAAGAACACCAGUGGCGAAAGCGGCUCUCUGGUCUGUAACUGACGCUGAGGUUCGAAAGCGUGGGUAGCAAACAGG